rnacentral:misc_RNA from 1 species
GUGAAUCAUCGAAUUUUUGAACGCAAAUUGCACUCUCCUCGGAGAGUAUGCCUGUUUGAGGGUCAGCCUAUAAAAAAUCGACAUCGUUGCUGUUUCGCGGUGAUGUUCGUCGGAAAUUGGGUCAUCUUAAAUCCUUUUGGUUUUAAGCAACUUAAAAUUUUCUUUUUGGUUCCAUGAACGUUUCUAAGAUUUAUUUCUUUACACGUUAAAGGGAAUCUUUUUUAUUUGGACUUGCCAUCAAGUCGGAAUCCCG